UUUUAUUAUCACUGCACAUAUCAUAAUACAUUGUUAAUAAUUAUACUAAUUUAGUAGCAGAAUUGAAAUGGAAAAUUACCUUUCCCUUUCUCUAAGGUGUAACAAAUUCCCUUUUUUUUCAAGCUAAUUUGGCUUUUUUUUUUUUCGACUUUUCCACUGAAUCUAUACAGUCUACAUCAUCUACAUCUUCAAGCAUUAGUUGCAGUGACAAUCGUUGUUUUGAAUCCAGACGGUGUUCUUCUCCUUCAGACGUUUGCCCAUAUCAAGUUUCCGUGUCUACUACCACUACCUCCACCGGGACAUUGUUACGAGAUGUGUUCCAUCUCAUCACAGAAGAUGAGGAUUUGAAACGAUGCUAACGUCGCGCUUGUGUAAGUGAUGACUAUUUUCCUCUGUUAACCAGCAAGCAAAGCAACCUAUUUGUUUUACAACGGUAAGACUGAAUAUGAAAUGUUAUCUAGACAUGCACAAAAGUCUAUGUCUUUUGUCUCACUUAAGACUCAUGCACGGCUCCGUCAGCUGUCCUGCUGUUUGAGAACCUGAGGCAAUCAAGGAUAUGUCAAAAGAACUGACUCCUUGUUUGUGAUGAUGCUGCGGUCAGAGAGACUGGUUUUUUCCUGAACCGUCAAUCCGUGAAUGGCGUUCUCGGGCUUGGUGCGAAGAUUAUUCUGUUCCUAGCAUUCUAGCAAAAUCUAAAAUCGCUGCAAACUCUUUUUCAAUAUGUUUCGGACGAAUCAGUUUCGGAGACAAAGGCUACAGACCAGCGUGAACCUCCAUUCGAAUCUCUUGAACCAAGGUACAAAAUCAGCUUCAUAUUACCAUCUACACCGAUUAUGUUACCAUCUUCAAUUCAUUACUUCCCUUUGUGAUUCACAUUCUUGAUCCAAAAUGAACAUUAGUAUGGCUAAUGGUGUGCAUGUGACGGGAUUAUUAAGGGCAGCAGCACUGAAGUGACCUGUUUUUCUUCGCAUUUUUGCACAGUUCGACACUGGCUCAUCAUUUACAUACUUAAGGGUUCCAAUCAAACAAUGAAUAGGAAGCAUUACCAAAAGACGUCUAUACGAAAAUAUGCUUACAUAGCGACAACACCUUGAUCGAGAGUCGAGACGCAACUUAUCGGUAUUGAGCGAAUGAUUGAGUUCUUAGUUGUGGAUCCUACUUACAUUAUCAAAUAAUGUAUAAGAAGCGUUACCAGAGAACAUUAAGAAACAGAAGAAGUAUUACAAUCAGAAAAGUACCUUCUCGCUAUUAUGAUAGAGCGAAUGAAUGACUUGUAUUGAAUUGUAGUUUCUAUAGAUAUUCUGAAUUGGAAGAAUUAUAAAAUCAAAUAAUGGUAUUGAAAUAGAUAGGAAAACUCAAGAGAGACAGUAAACUCAAUGAAUGCAUGAGAUACAAUAAACUCACCAGAAACUCAUCCUAGACAAUUUUUGUAGAGAAAUAGACCGGAAGAUACAUAAACUCAACAUGGCCAGAAUGUGAGAGAGAAUAAUCUGAAAAUGAGAGAGAGUACAGAAAAGAAGAUCGUCC
rnacentral:lncRNA from 1 species